rnacentral:rRNA from 1 species
AUUGAACGCUGGCGGCAGGCCUAACACAUGCAAGUCGAGCGAGCGGCGGACGGGUGAGUAAUGUAUGGGGACUGCCCGACAGAGGGGGAUAACUACUGGAAACGGUGGCUAAUACCGCAUACUAUCGGAUAACCCAUAUGGGAUUAGCUAGUUGGUGAGGUAAUGGCUCACCAAGGCGACGAUCCCUAGCUGGUCUGAGAGGAUGAUAGGCCACACUGGGACUGAGACACGGCCCAGACUCCUACGGAGGCAGCAGUGGGGAAUAUUGCACAAUGGGCGCAAGCCUGAUGCAGCCAUGCCGCGUGUGUGAAGAAGGCCUUCGGGUUGUAAAGCACUUUCAGCGAGGAAGCGUUACUCGCAGAGAAAGCACCGGCUAACUCCGUGCCAGCAGCCGCGGUAAUUC